CCUACGGGUGGCUGCAGUAAGGAAUAUUGGUCAAUGGAGGCAACUCUGAACCAGCCAUGCCGCGUGAAGGAAGAAGGCGCUAUGCGUUGUAAACUUCUUUUGGGUGGGAAGAAAAUGGUCAAUUUAUUGACAACUGACGGUACCAUCAGAAUAAGCACCGGCUAACUCCGUGCCAGCAGCCGCGGUAAUACGGAGGGUGCAAGCGUUAUCCGGAAUCACUGGGUUUAAGGGGUCCGUAGAUGGCUGCUUAGAAAUGUCUGGGCUUAACCGAGGCAUUGCGGUUGAUACUGUAGGGCUUGAAUCAAGUUGAGGUAGCUAGAAUGUGACAUGUAGCGGUGAAAUGCAUAGAUAUGUCAUAGAAUACCAAUUGCGAAGGCAGGUUGCUAGACUUUGAUUGACACUGAGGCACGAAAGCGUGGGGAUCAAACAGGAUUAGAUACCCUUGUAGUC
rnacentral:rRNA from 1 species